AAGGCCUUCGGGUUGUAAACUGCUUUUGUACGGAACGAAAAAGUUCUCUCUAAUACAGGGGGCGAAUGACGGUACCGUAAGAAUAAGCACCGGCUAACUACGUGCCAGCAGCCGCGGUAAUACGUAGGGUGCAAGCGUUAAUCGGAAUUACUGGGCGUAAAGCGUGCGCAGGCGGUUAUAUAAGACAGAUGUGAAAUCCCCGGGCUCAACCUGGGAACUGCAUUAGUGACUGUAUAGCUAGAGUGCGGCAGAGGGGGAUGGAAUUCCGCGUGUAGCAGUGAAAUGCGUAGAUAUGCGGAGGAACACCGAUGGCGAAGGCAAUCCCCUGGGCCUGCACUGACGCUCAUGCACGAAAGCGUGGGGAGCAAACAGGAUUAGAUACCCUGGUAGUCCACGCCCUAAACGAUGUCAACUGGUUGUUGGGUCUUCACUGACUCAGUAACGAAGCUAACGCGUGAAGUUGACCGCCUGGGGAGUACGGCCGCAAGGUUAAAACUCAAAGGAAUUGACGGA
rnacentral:rRNA from 1 species